rnacentral:lncRNA from 1 species
AUCUCAUCAUUCUUGUGGGAGAGACACAACACCGGCGCUAAGAAAGGCAACAGAUUGCUUCUGUCAUAUCGCUUUGCUGUUUUGGAGUGUACUUAAAGGAUUAUGAUUGAUAAGGCUGUCUUGCCAGAGAAUGUUGACACAGCUCAUGAUUUCCUGGAAGCUGGCUGUCCAUCAGUGGUGUAUAUAAGAUGUGUUAUAAGUAUGAUGCUUCCAUACUACAUUUGGAUGUUUUCAGCUAAGCUCACUUCUGAAUUACAGGGUUCCUCCAAAUGUUGGCUGAAAUCUGUCCUUGCAUACCCCCAAGCUCAUCUGCAAAAUCUGCAGUUCAUAAUGGAGCUCCUGUACUGGCUGUCGGAAGGAGGAGAUUCGGAAGAUAGGGAGAUUCAGCUAUUGGGCUUUGAAACUUCCUGUGAAGUUGUCCUGUGGUCUGUUCAAUCUAGAUGCAAAGGACCUGGAACAGUCAAGCGCUCAAGAGGUUUACAUUGUUUUGGAUGUUCCUAUUUAUAGACCAAACUAUUUUCCCAAUUCAGAUCCUCAGUUGUUAUGCAGAAGAAGGUCAUACUCUUCUUGAUCAUCCGUUUUAUUAGAAAUGAUUAGUAUUGUAGAGUAUCGCCAAACAUUUUCUGUUUGAAUCAAAGUACAGAAAAAAUAAAAUCAAUUCUAUAUGUUGACCUUUUUUCUAA